ACAUCCCGAUCGCACUUUCUGGAAACAGAGAGGUCAGUUCGGCUGGAUCGGUGACAGGUGCUGCAUGGCUGUCGUCAGCUCGUGUCGUGAGAUGUUGGGUUAAGUCCGCAACGAGCGCAACCCUCGUCCUUAGUUGCCAGCAUUAAGUUGGGCACUCUAAGGAGACUGCCGGUGUUAAACCGGAGGAAGGCGGGGAUGACGUCAAGUCCUCAUGGCCCUUAUGUCCAGGGCUACACACGUGCUACAAUGGCCGGUACAAAGGGUAGCAAGACCGCGAGGUGGAGCCAAUCCCAAAAAGCCGGUCUCAGUUCGGAUUGGAGUCUGCAACUCGACUCCAUGAAGUUGGAAUCGCUAGUAAUCGUGGAUCAGCAUGCCACGGUGAAUACGUUCCCGGGCCUU
rnacentral:rRNA from 1 species